GACGAACGCUGGCGGCGUGCCUAACACAUGCAAGUCGAACGGAACUGUUUUGAAAGCUUUCUUCGGAAUGAAUUUGAUUUAGUUUAGUGGCGGACGGGUGAGUAACGCGUGAGUAACCUGCCUUCAAGAGGGGAAUAACAUUCUGAAAAGAAUGCUAAUACCGCAUGACAUAUCGGAACCACAUGGUUUUGAUAUCAAAGAUUUUAUCGCUUGAAGAUGGACUCGCGUCCGAUUAGUUAGUUGGUGAGGUAACGGCUCACCAAGACCGCGAUCGGUAGCCGGACUGAGAGGGUGAACGGCCACAUUGGGACUGAGACACGGCCCAGACUCCUACGGGAGGCAGCAGUGGGGGAUAUUGCGCAAUGGGGGCAACCCUGACGCAGCAACGCCGCGUGAAGGAUGAAGGUUUUCGGAUUGUAAACUUCUUUUAUUAAGGACGAAAAAUGACGGUACUUAAUGAAUAAGCUCCGGCUAACUACGUG
rnacentral:rRNA from 1 species